CGCGGGGUGGACCAAUGGUAGGUCGCGGGUCCCAUAAGCCCGAAGUCUGGGUUCGACUCCUGGCCCCGCAA
rnacentral:tRNA from 1 species